rnacentral:rRNA from 1 species
UACGUAGGGUGCAAGCGUUGUCCGGAAUUAUUGGGCGUAAAGAGCUCGUAGGCGGUCUGUCGCGUCUGCUGUGAAAUCCCGGGGCUCAACCCCGGGCCUGCAGUGGAUACGGGCUGGCUAGAGGCAGGCAGGGGAGAACGGAAUUCCUGGUGUAGCGGUGAAAUGCGCAGAUAUCAGGAGGAACACCGGUGGCGAAGGCGGUUCUCUGGGCCUGUACUGACGCUGAGGAGCGAAAGCGUGGGGAGCAAACAGG